ACAACAACAUUCGGACCGUCGGUCUACCGAGCAAUAUCACCCGCUCGGUGGAAGAUCUUCCCUUUGUCGUUAAUC
rnacentral:pre_miRNA from 1 species